AGGUAAGCAGAGGCAAUAUCCUCACCUUUGCCCUCCGAAGGCAAAGGUCACACGUUCGAAUCGUGUCGGGUGCGCCA
rnacentral:tRNA from 3 species